rnacentral:rRNA from 2 species
GCAUAUCAAUAAGCGGAGGAAAAGAAACCAACAGGGAUUGCCUCAGUAGCGGCGAGUGAAGCGGCAAAAGCUCAAAUUUGAAAUCUGGCGUCUUUGGCGUCCGAGUUGUAAUUUGAAGAAGGUAUCUUUGGGCCCGGCUCUUGUCUAUGUUCCUUGGAACAGGACGUCACAGAGGGUGAGAAUCCCGUGCGAUGAGAUGGCCCGGGUCUAUGUAAAGUUCCUUCGACGAGUCGAGUUGUUUGGGAAUGCAGCUCUAAGUGGGUGGUAAAUUCCAUCUAAAGCUAAAUAUUGGCGAGAGACCGAUAGCGAACAAGUACAGUGAUGGAAAGAUGAAAAGAACUUUGAAAAGAGAGUGAAAAAGUACGUGAAAUUGUUGAAAGGGAAGGGCUUGAGAUCAGACUUGGUAUUUUGCAAGUUACUCUUUCGGGGGUGGCCUCUGCGGUUUACCGGGCCAGCAUCGGUUUGGAGCGGUAGGAUAAUGGCGGGGGAAUGUGGCACGACUUUGGUUGUGUGUUAUAGCCUCUGACGAUACUGCCAGCCUAGACCGAGGACUGCGGUUUUUACCUAGGAUGUUGGCAUAAUGAUCUUAAGUCGCCCGUCUUGAAACACGGACC